GGUGAACGCUCGCGGUACGUCUAACACAUGCAAGUCGAACGCCCGCACUGUAAGAGCUUACCCCUACGGGUGGCGACUUGCGGACGGGUGAGGCAUACAUCGGAAUCCACUUUUCCGUGGGGGACAACGUAGGGCAACUUACGCUAACACCUCAUACCACCUACGGGUGAAAGCAGUGGAUCUUCGGACCUUUCGCGUUUCAAUGAGCCGAUGUCGGUUUAGUUAGUUGGCGGGGUAAAGGCCCACCAAGGCGACGAUCCGUAGCUGGUCUGAGAGGAUGAUCGGCCACACUGGAACUGAGACACGGUCCAGACUCCUACGGGAGGCAGCAGUGGGGAAUAUUGGACAAUGAGCGCAAGCCUGAUCCAGCCAUACCGCGUGGGUGAAGAAGGCCUUCGGGUUGUAAAGCCCUUUUGUUGGGAAAGAAAAGCAGCAGGUUAAUACCCCGCUGUUCUGACGGUACCCAAAGAAUAAGCACCGGCUAACUUCGUG
rnacentral:rRNA from 1 species